GUUACACUGACUGGGGCAACGAGCACCUUGGCCGAGAGGCCCGGGGAAUCUUGAAGCCCAGUCGUGCUGGGGAUAGAGCAUUGCAAUUAUUGCUCUUCAACGAGGAAUCCCUAGUAGUCGCAUGUCAUCAGCAUGCGACGAUUACGUCCCUGCCCUUUGUACACACCGCCCGUCGCUACUACCGAUUGGAUGGCUCAGUGAGGCUUCUGGAUUGGCGCCGUGGGCAACUGCGGCUGCCGAGAAACUAUCCAAACUCGGUCAUCUAGAGGAAGUAAAAGUCGUAACAAGGUCUCCGUUGGUGAACCAGCGGAGGGAUCAUUAGAGAAACCGGGCGCCUUGGCGCCGGGGCUAUGGCUCAGUUAUAUUAUUAUUUUUCUUGUAUAAAACUUUCAGCAACGGAUCUCUUGGCUCAGGCAUCGAUGAAGAACGCAGCAAACUGCGAUAAGUAGUGUGACUUGCCGUCGUGAAUCAUUGAAUUUUUGAACGCACAUUGCGCCCGGGAGCAUUCUCCCGGGCAUGCAAGGUCGAGCGGCAAUCGUUUUGUUGGGGGAUGCGGUUGCACCCCUGAAAUACAUCUCAGUACGAAGUAAAACACGUACAAGACCCGAUCCGCCCUCGGCUUUGUAGGACUACCCGCUGAACUUAAGCAUAUCAAUAAGCGGAGGAAAAGAAACCAACAGGGAUUGCUCUAGUAACGGCGAGUGAAGCACAACAGCUCAGAUUUGAAAGGCCUC
rnacentral:misc_RNA from 1 species